UACGAAGGGUGCAAGCGUUAUUCGGAAUGAUUGGGCGUAAAGGGUGCGCAGACGGUCAGCUAAGUCAACUGUUAAAUUUCCCGGCCUAACUGGGAGCACGCAGUAGAAACUGAUUGACUAGAGGAUGGAAGAGAGAAGUGGAAUUCUCGGAGUAGCGGUAAAAUGCGUAGAUCUCGAGAGGAACACCGAUGGCGAAGGCAGCUUCUUGGUCCAUUCUGACGUUCAUGCACGAAAGCGUGGGGAGCA
rnacentral:rRNA from 1 species